rnacentral:tRNA from 1 species
GCGAACAUAGCCCAAUCGGCAGAGGCACGGGUGUUAAACUCCCGCCAGUUCUGGUUCGAAUCCAGAUGUUCGCACCA